UACGUAGGGUGCAAGCGUUAAUCGGAAUUACUGGGCGUAAAGCGUGCGCAGGCGGUUAUGUAAGACAGAUGUGAAAUGCCCGGGCUUAACCUGGGAACUGCAUUUGUGACUGCAUGGCUAGAGUUUGGCAGAGGGGGGUAGAAUUCCACGUGUAGCAGUGAAGUGCGUAGAUAUGUGGAGGAACACCGAUGGCGAAGGCAGCCCCCUGGGUCAAGACUGACGCUCAUGCACGAAAGCGUGGGGAGCAAACAGG
rnacentral:rRNA from 1 species